rnacentral:rRNA from 1 species
GACGAACGCUGGCGGCGUGCUUAACACAUGCAAGUCGAACGGAAAGGCCCCUUUGGGGGUACUCGAGUGGCGCACGGGUGAGUAACACGUGAGUAACCUGCCCUUGACUUCGGGAUAACUUCAGGAAACUGGGGCUAAUACCGGAUAGGAAUCCUUGCUGCACGGUGGGGGUUGGAAAGCUUCGGCGGUUUUGGAUGGACUCGCGGCUUAUCAGCUUGUUGGUGGGGUAGUGGCUUACCAAGGCUUUGACGGGUAGCCGGCCUGAGAGGGCGACCGGCCACAUUGGGACUGAGAUACGGCCCAGACUCCUACGGGAGGCAGCAGUGGGGAAUAUUGCACAAUGGGCGGAAGCCUGAUGCAGCAACGCCGCGUGCGGGAUGACGGCCUUCGGGUUGUAAACCGCUUUCAGCAGGGGCGAAGCUUGUGGUGACGGUACCUGCAGAAGAAGCACCGGCUAACUACGUG